rnacentral:rRNA from 1 species
AGUGAGCGCUGGCGGUAGGCCUAACACAUGCAAGUCGAACGGCAGCACAGUAAGAGCUUGCACUUACGGGUGGCGAGUGGCGGACGGGUGAGGAAUACAUCGGAAUCUACUUUUUCGUGGGGGAUAACGUAGGGAAACUUACGCUAAUACCGCAUACGACCUACGGGUGAAAGCAGGGGAUCUUCGGACCUUGCGCGAUUGAAUGAGCCGAUGUCGGAUUAGCUAGUUGGCGGGGUAAAGGCCCACCAAGGCGACGAUCCGUAGCUGGUCUGAGAGGAUGAUCAGCCACACUGGAACUGAGACACGGUCCAGACUCCUACGGGAGGCAGCAGUGGGGAAUAUUGGACAAUGGGCGCAAGCCUGAUCCAGCCAUACCGCGUGGGUGAAGAAGGCCUUCGGGUUGUAAAGCCCUUUUGUUGGGAAAGAAAAGCAGCAGGUUAAUACCCCGCUGUUCUGACGGUACCCAAAGAAUAAGCACCGGCUAACUUCGUG